AUCUUCAUUGAAUUCUUCUAUUUAAGAUGAGCACGGUCAUUGAAUUCUUCUCUUUUAAGGUUUUGUACACUUUGUAGACAAUAAUAGGUUGCACAAGCUAUUUGAAAUUUACUAUAAUGUGGAGCUUAUACAUCUCCAGUCUAAGCUGAACUUGCACAAACUGUUGGAUUGCCUAAUUUGUUCUUGACAUGUUCAAUUUUUAGCUUUUAAAAUUAUCAGUUGUUCGCUAAUUGUUUAUUAGUUGACACUGAUGCAUUAUAGUUGCAUUCAGUCUGUGCUUGAGCUGAUAGGCACUCACUCUAAAGACAACACUUCUUUCUGUCCAAGCAUUACUCUCUGCUCCUGAACCUAUGACCCUCAAGAUGCUGUUGUAGGGCAACAGUAUCUUAGAGACUACCAGACCUUUGUUGGCAGAGCUCGCUACUGGACAGAAACUUUUGCCAGGACCUCAUCGCUUGGGGUCGAGGAAAAGGUAAAGAUGUUAAGAGUUUGUUUACUUUUCUCUCCAAUCCUGCAAUCUUCUCUUUAAGGAUUUAAAUCUAGUGACCAAGCUAGUCAAAAUCAUGGAUUGAAGGGAGAAGAUGCUUGGAAAUAGAAGAGUUUCUUCAGCGAGAGUAUUGUGAAGGAAUUUGUAGAUAAAAGAAUGAUGUGGGAGAGGGAAUCCGAGAUCAUGGAGAAAUACCUGUUAAUAGAAAUAGCUGGUGUAUUAAACAAAUAUUAUUUUUGUUAGCGUCUAUAUUAAACAACUGUUAAUAACAAUAGCGUUUGUUUAUUAAACAUACCCAUUUCAAUUUUAAAUAACCAUUAAUAGAAAUAACAG